rnacentral:rRNA from 1 species
CAACAGGGAUUGCCCCAGUAACGGCGAGUGAAGCGGCAACAGCUCAAAUUUGAAAUCUGGCGCAAGCCCGAGUUGUAAUUUGCAGAGGAUGCUUCAGGGCAGCGACCGGUCUAAGUUCCUUGGAACAGGACGUCGUAGAGGGUGAGAAUCCCGUAUGCGACCGGUUGGCACCCGUCACGUAGCUCCUUCGACGAGUCGAGUUGUUUGGGAAUGCAGCUCUAAAUGGGAGGUAAAUUUCUUCUAAAGCUAAAUACCGGCCAGAGACCGAUAGCGCACAAGUAGAGUGAUCGAAAGAUGAAAAGCACUUUGGAAAGAGAGUUAAAAAGCACGUGAAAUUGUUGAAAGGGAAGCGCAUGCAACCAGACUUGUCGGCGGUGUUCCGCCGGUCUUCUGACCGGUCCACUCGCCGCCGGCAGGCCAGCAUCAUCUGGGCGCGCCGGACAAAGGCGCGGGGAAUGUAGCUCCUCGGAGUGUAUUAGCCCCGCGCACAAUACGGCGCCGCUCGGGUGAGGUCCGCGCUUCGGCUAGGAUGCUGGCGUAAUGGUUGUCUGCGGCCCGUCUUGAAACACGGACCAAGGAGUCUAACAUCUAUGCGAGUGUUCGGGUGUCAAACCCCUACGCGGAAUGAAAGUGAACGGAGGUGGGAAGCGCAAGCUGCACCAUCGACCGAUCCUGAUGUCUUCGGAUGGAUUUGAGUAAGAGCAUAGCUGUUGGGACCCGAAAGAUGGUGAACUAUGCCUGAAUAGGGUGAAGCCAGAGGAAACUCUGGUGGAGGCUCGCAGCGGUUCUGACGUGCAAAUCGAUCGUCAAAUUUGGGUAUAGGGGCGAAAGACUAAUCGAACCA